rnacentral:lncRNA from 10 species
GAGCUCAUUGAUCAUCAUAACAGAGUCUAUUGAAAGUCCUCAGCAGGCGGUGUGACGAUGUGACCAGCUCUGGCCAAGGAGCUGUAGGCAGAAGUGUCUUGCAGCAGCUCCUGUAAAUCUUAAAAGACAGCUGGUGCGUGUCUUUUUUCCUUUUUUUUUCCCUUCCCCCUUCCUGCUGCGCUGAAUAUGGAUAUGGUGAGUGAAUCUAGAGCAGCCAUUUGGAGGUAUGAAGAGAUCUUGGAAAUAGAGGCCAUGUGUGUUGAAACAAGACCGAACAACUCCAAGUUCCUGAAGACUUCAUUUCACCAACCCAGAACCUCCUUGAUCAUCACAGUGGUCGAACCAUUUUACAUUUUCACCAGCAAUGAAGGAGGGUUCCUGUUGCUCUACCAUUUGGUACUGUCAGCGUUUUGGAUAUUAGCCGUCCUAAUAGAAAAGAGUGAGUAACUAGUGGCCUUUAGAUGAGCCAACCGCAAGCCUGGACUCAUCUUUGACAUCUCCUGCUUCCCUCCAUAAUGACCGUCGUUGCUCCUCUUGCCCAAGGUGUUUGACUCUUCCUACAGCCUUUGCAUGGAUGAUUGUCUGUCCUCUGUUGGGCCCCUUCUGAAGAGUUGGAGUUGGUUGCAAACUAUAGAAACCAUUUGGGCUGGUUUGAGCAUAAAAGGAAAUUACUGGGAGUUAUUAGGUGCUCGGUGAUUCAUUGGGAGGUCUGGCAAAAAAGAAGCUCAAGGCUAAGCUCAUAGGAACACAGCCCGGCAUCUCACACAGAAGUGGCUUGAUGAGGAUUCUACUGCCUCCACAGCUCCUGCCAUCAUCUUCAUCUGCACCAUAGAUGCUCAGAACCCAGUCUGUGUCUGCAUGUUGCUGACUUCCAAAUGAGAGCUUCAUGAGAGUGUAUUUGGUUGGUAGAACAUAGGUCCCAGACCUUCUCCCUGGGAGCUGGAAGAGAUGCUGGGAAAUUCUGCCCUGGAAAAAUAAAACUCACAAUGUGGGAAACAAAGAAAAUGUACAGCAGGGGUUUAACAGAAUGACAGGUAUCUGCUAAAGAAAAUAUUGAUUUUUUUUAAAAAAAAAAAAGACAAUUUUCCCUUUAGAGCCCCAGAAAGAUUCAGGCCUUAGAGGCACUAAGUACUAUAGAAAAUGAGGCUGAAGCAUGGGGCUGAAACUUGGUUUGGUUGAAGGUCUCUGGAAGGCAGAGCAGUUUAACCUCUAGGUUCCCUCAUCCACCCCCAUACAGCCAGACAAUUAUCCCUCCACCCUUCUGUUCUCCUCCCCUCUUCCCUUAGAAAACUUGAAGUUUAUUCUCUAGAGAAGUUCCAGGCUCAGUGACACCAGGCCAAGGUGCUGGACUGAAAACAAUUAGAUUAAGUUAAAAUCUGCUUGAUAAGUGUACAAGUAAUCUAUUUUCAAAACCUAAGAGAUGUUGUCAGCUAUCUCUAACUAUAUGCCAGCAGUAGGCCUUCUAGGAAACUGUACUAUGAUUCCAGGAAACUCGAUUGUGGGCUGGGGAAGGACAAUAAAGUGGAUUGUAUGAUCA